GAUGAACGCUGGCGGCGUGCUUAACACAUGCAAGUCGAACGGAAAGGCUCCUGCUUGCAGGGGUACUCGAGUGGCGAACGGGUGAGUAACACGUGGGUGAUCUGCCCUGGACUUCGGGAUAAGCCUGGGAAACUGGGUCUAAUACCGGAUAGGACGAUGGUUUGGAUGCCAUUGUGGAAAGUUUUUCGGUGUGGGAUGAGCUCGCGGCCUAUCAGCUUGUUGGUGGGGUAAUGGCCUACCAAGGCGUCGACGGGUAGCCGGCCUGAGAGGGUGUACGGCCACAUUGGGACUGAGAUACGGCCCAGACUCCUACGGGAGGCAGCAGUGGGGAAUAUUGCACAAUGGGCGCAAGCCUGAUGCAGCGACGCCGCGUGGGGGAUGACGGCCUUCGGGUUGUAAACUCCUUUCGCUAGGGACGAAGCGCAAGUGACGGUACCUGGAGAAGAAGCACCGGCUAACUACGUG
rnacentral:rRNA from 1 species